GGGCGCGUAGCUCAGUGGAUUAGAGCAUCAGAUUCCGGUUCUGAGGGUCGGGGGUUCGAAUCCCUCCGCGCUCG
rnacentral:tRNA from 1 species